GAUGGACUGAACUUGCCACCGCUACACGUGUGCGUUGGCUAAUCUUGGAGAGCACAGUCACCGCGGCCGGUCAAAACGCCAGCCGGCCUCCCCUUUUGAUACUGACAGCCGAUUCCAGGAGCACUCGGCUAUUUUUCAUUUUAUGGAUAGAACUACCAGAAGAGGCACCACAUCUCCUUCUGUUUGGGUUGUUUUCCACUUCCAAUAUCAGAUUAUGCAAUACUUUGACAGAUAUCUGCUUCUCUUAUGUAACUAAUUUACUAUUGACCUGGCUCUUAUAUUUCUCUGUGCAGAAAAUAUUUUGUUCGUCCCAGAUACCUCCUUUGGAAUGACCCCAUCUUGUUGAAGGAUACAAGCUUGCAUCACUUGCUUUAAAAUUUGCAAAGAUGUCCAAAAAGCUGCGAGGAAUUGGAGCAGAGAAAUCUUUGUCACUUGAGGAGCAGCUAGCUAAGGUAUAUUUAACAAUAACGUUAAGAAGCAUUUUUUAUUAUUCUUAGCAUUUUUUAUUAUUCUUACUUUAAUAGAUUCUAUAGAUUAUACUUGUUGUCAUUAUUCAAGGCAGAAGUCUUGUUGCCUUGCAUUGAUCUGCUAAAGGUAAUGUCUAUUUUUUUCCUCUAUCACACUCUAUUUUGUGAUGUUAUUUGUUCUGGUGAUUGAAACUAUAAUGUUUGUGACUUUAAAUUACAAUUUACAAUUGUGAGUCAAAUUCUAAAAACUACUGGUACAUGUUUGCUUCUUCUCUAUGGUUCCAAGUGCUGCUCUCCAAUAUGGCUUCCUGUACAAGCUACACCAGCGCCUUCAUCAAUCAUUUUGUCUUAAUAUUUAUAUUUGUCUUGCUAUUUAAAGUGUCUCCUUGAAUUAACUGUUUUCAAUACUGUUUUCCCAUUGCUUAGAAUACUGAAGGUAGCACAUUCAAGUGAUAUUAAAAGAUAAUAUUGUCUGAUUCUUAGAUUCUUUCACAAUCAAUUGAGCUUUGGAAAAUUUAGUCUCUGGAAGCCCUUAAGAUUGGCAGGGUCCUAAUUCAAUUGAAUUGUUUAGAUGUGAACUAAUUGGCUCCUUAUGUCUCCAGAUCAAUGAUAUUAGGAAGAUGAUAGGUCCUAUUGCUGACAAGCUUCCAGCAAUUUGUUCUGAUGCAUCACUAUCAAGGUAUCUCAGAGCAAGAAAUUGGAAUACAAAGAAGGCAGCCAAAAUGUUGAAAGAAACGUUGAAGUGGAGGUUGGAAUUCAAGCCUGAGAAGAUCCGAUGGGCACGUACUUAAUGGCUCAAACUUGUUCUUUAUUGCUUUUGAAUGUUUAAGGGGCUUGAUGCCUUGAUCACCAAAGAGAAGAGAAGGAAACAAAUAUUAGUCUCCUUCUGAAAUGAAAUUCAACCUAAUUGAAUUAGUGGCAGCUAUGCAUUUUGAGUCCUUUAGCUAGAAGGUAUCUCCAAGCAGAAUGCUUGACAGGUUUUAACUUCACACCUGGCUUUCUCCUCGUGCUCCUUGAGGAAGAUGUUUAAAGUUGGGUUUUAGGUCAAAUUUUGGAGUGGGUUACAUAUGUAGAACACGCUUCACUUUCCACACACACACACACAAUCCAACCACAACAUCAACAGGAAGAUGAUUAAAUUGCAUUGAGUACAUAUGGCUUAAAUAGUAUUUCAGUUCAUAGCAAUGUGCUAUGACUUUUGACCUUGUUAUCUUGUUCUUUUUGAUGGUAUAUUUGACCAUAUGAAAAGGUAUGAAAAAAGCAACUUUUUUUAAAGGAAAAAAAUUCUUAGAUGUUCUUAUCAAAUCUAAUUAUUUAGUGUUUCGCACUGCUUUGCCCAUCUGCGCAUGGAUGUUACAGUUCCUUGCAUGGCCUUCUGUGCUAACUGAUACAAUAUUUUGUCUUGCAUGUAGGAAGAUGUUACUCAUGAAGCUCAAACUGGAAAAGUCUACAAAGCUAAUUAUUCUGACAAGAAGGGAAGGACUGUUCUUGUCAUGAGACCUGGUUUUCAGAAUACAACUGCAUUAGGAGGACAGAUCAAGCACUUGGUUUAUUGUAUGGAAAAUGCCAUAAUGACUAUGAAUCCAGAUCAAGAGCAAAUGGUGUGGUUAAUUGAUUUUCAACGGUGGACAAUGGGUAGCAUAUCAGUGAAGGCAGCUCGAGAAACAGCUAAAAUAUUGCAGAAUCAUUAUCCUGAGCGACUGGGCCUUGCAAUCCUCUACAAUCCCCCCAAAGUCUUUGAGUCCUUCUGGACGAUGGUGAAACCAUUCAUUGAGCCCAAGACAUACAAGAAAGUGAAGUUCAUCUAUUCUAAUGACCUAGAGAGCCGAAAGACAAUGGAAGAGUUAUUUGAUAUGGAUAAACUGGAUUCUGAAUUUGGGGGAAAAAGCUCAGCUGGUUUUGAUUACGAAGCUUAUGGGCAAAGGAUGAGGGAGGAAGAGAAGAAAGUUUCUGAUUCAAAUAUCUCUGGACCUUCAUCACCAGUGCUUUCUGUCACAAUGGAAUCACAGCAGUCAGGAUCAUUGGCUGCAGCUGGUAGGGCUUCUGAUGAGGAUGACUCUUCCUCUGUUGAUGAAGCUACUUCAAACUUGGAGGGUCUUGAUGAAGAAACACAAGAUCAGCCUUCUAAUUGCGAAAAUGUUGCAAAUGAUGAUGCAGCAGAAGUGGUGAAAGAGUAGAAAUAAAUUAUUUGCUGAGCAUGAUACUUCCAAUCCAGACAUUGUUGAUAAGCACAAGGCUCGGGACUUCACCUGAAAAGAUUUUGCAAAAUGUGAACUUGAAGCAGAAAGAGAUGCAAAACUCAGUUGAGUUGGCAGAAGAUGUAAUGAUGAGUCCUGGUAAUUUUGUUAUUCUUUCCAAUUCCUGAAGAUGCAUAGUUGCACCUUAUGCUUAUAAUAGCUUGAACAUUAAUAUUUGACUGAACAGUUGAUUUCUUGUGAAAAAAAAAAUUACUGUUAGCCAACUGCUUCAGUCGAGUGGCAGAAAUCUUCAACAUACAGGUGUCAGCCUCGAAAUGUUAUCCAUGGAUUUCUUUUAAAUUUUCUUUCAUUGGAUAUAAUUUAAAAACAAAGUAUUAAAGGAUGUCUAAGAGUUGCUAGUGAAACAAGAUAAAUACAUAUUGAAAUAGAAACUGAUGAUUUACCACGAAUGAAUGUGGCUUUGAGAGAAAAAAGUUUAAAGUUUGGUGUUUCAAUAGCAUGUCUUUGCUGAAAAGAGAGAUGGUAUGAGAUUGGAUGGCUUCCCCUGAUUACCUGCAUUGUCACAGCUUUGAAGCCAUAGAUAUCCAGUUGUAAUCCGAAAUAUCUAGUGGUUCUGCAGACGAUUUCAGUACUCGAGUGUAAAUAAAAAGGUUAUGGCUUUGAUAAGUUUAACAACUGUGUUAUUUUCUGAAGUCUCAUAUAUUGUUAUUGAAAGCCUUCCAGAUGUUUACAUUAUUCAUCUCCAGAGGAAAGGUGCCGUUGAGUUGAUUAAAGAAGACGGGAGAAUAUUUUCCUUUCACGAGAAGAAAAUAUUAUGUCAUAGCCUACUAUUCACAAAAAAGAUUUCCCAUCCUUGUUAAAGGACAAGUAGUUACUCCUACAUUCUCUUAAACAAUUUCUUACACUUUUACCUUCUCAUAAACAACUAAAACCAUAAUUAUUUGAUCAAUUUAGGUGGCAGAAGGAGCAGAGGAAGGAUGGUGACAAAUAAGUGGAAUGAAGAAAAUUGGAUGAAACUCAUUGUGAUGGGAAAAGAGAAUGUUUGAAGUGGCUGUCAUUUCUGCAAAUCCAAAACCUCCAUCCUCAUGUCCCUCGGGAUCCAGCCUGCCUUUCUUUGGGAGGAGGUUUUCAAGAUUUAAAAAUCUAAAAUUUGUGUUUGGGAGAACAUAAGGGUUUUUAAAAGUAAGGUUUGUGUUUGGAUUGAGGGAUUUGAUCUAUGAAUUUAGAUUUAGACUAAAUAUGGAUAUUGUAAAUGAAGAUAGAUUUAGAUUUUGGCUUAAAUUUAUUUUAAAUAUAUUCUAUUAUAAUCAAAUGUGUCAGCUCUAUAUUAUUGUAA
rnacentral:misc_RNA from 1 species